rnacentral:pre_miRNA from 1 species
UUGGAGGAUUUGAAGACUUCAACUUGCAGACUUGACAAAUUUGAGACUUUAACUUCCAGACUUGACAAUUUUGAAGACUUCAAGU